GGAGGGUAUAGCUCAGUGGUGAAGCACAUGCUUAUCAUGCACGAGGUCCUGGGUUCAAUUCCCAGUACCUCCA
rnacentral:tRNA from 1 species